AAAGGGCUAUAAUCACUACAGUGGUUCUUACAGCUUCAAGGAAGGAAUAGCGGAGAUACCUAGUCGGGGAAUCGGAGCUCUGCUUGACGCUGUCCCCCUGUGUUCAUGCCCUGCCUGUCCUGUAUCCAGAGGCCUUCCCUGCCUGUCCUGUAUCUAGAGGUCUGCCCUGCCUGUCCUGUAUCCAGAGGCCUUCCCUGACGGUCCUGUAUCCAGAGGCGUGCCCUGCGUGUCCUGUAUCCAGAGGCCUUCCCUGCCUGUCCUGUAUCUAGAGGUCUGCCCUGCCUGUCCUGUAUCUAGAGGUCUGCCCUGCCUGUCCUGUAUCCAGAGGUCUGCCCUGCCUGUUCUGUAUCCAGAGGUCUGCCCUGCGUGCCUGUAUCCUUCCCUGCCUGUCCUGUAUCCAGAGGUCUGCCCUGCGUGCCUGUAUCCUUCCCUGCCUGUCCUGUAUCCAGAGGCCUGCCCUGCCUGUCCUGUAUCCAGAGGCCUGCCCUGCCUGUCCUGUAUCCAGAGGCCUGCCCUGCCUGUCCUGUAUCCAGAGGCCUGCCCUGCCUGUCCUGUAUCCAGAGGCCUGCCCUGCCUGUCCUGUAUCCAGAGGUCUGCCCUGCCUAUCCUGUAUCCAGAGGCCUGCCCUGCCUAUCCUGUAUCCAGAGGCCUGCCCUGCCUGUCCUGUAUCCAGAGGCCUGCCUGUCCUGUAUCCAGAGGCCUGCCCGCCCGUCCCAUCCAGAGGCCCGCCCCGCCUCGUCCUGUAUCCAGAGGCCUGCCCUGCCAAGUCCUGUAUCCAGAGGCCUGCCCUGCCUGUCCUGUAUCCAGAGCAUCUGCCCCUGCCUGUCCUGUAUCCAGAGGCCUGCCCUGCCUGUCCUGCAGGUCCAGAGUGGGCAUGCCCUGCUUGUCCUGUAUCCAGAGGCUCGUUCCUGCCUGUCCUGUAUCCAGAGGCCUGCCUCUGCCUGUCCUGUAUCCAGAGUUCUGCCCCUGCCUGUUCUGUAUCCAGAGGCCUGCUGUCUGCCUGUCCUGUAUCUAGAGGCCUGCCCUGCCUGUCCUGUAUCCAGAGGCCUGCCCUGCCUGUCCUGUAUCCAGAGGCCUGCCCUGCCUGUCCUGUAUCCAGAGUUCUGCCCUGCCUGUUCUGUAUCCAGAGUUCUGCCCUGCCUGUUCUGUAUCCAGAGGCCUUGCCCUGCCUGUCCUGUAUCUAGAGGCCUGCCCGGCCUGUCCUGUAUCCAGAGGCCUGCCCUGCCUGUCCUGUAUCCAGAGGCCUGCCCUGCCUGUCCUGUAUCCAGAGGCCUGCCCUGCCUGUCCUGUAUCCAGAGGCCUACCUUGCCUGUCCUGUAUCCAGAGGCCUGUCCUGUAUCCAGAGGCCUGCCCUGCCUGUCAUGUAUCCAGAGGCCUGCCCUGUAUCCAGAGGCCUGCCCUGCCUGUCCUGUAUCCAGAGGCCUGCCCUGCCUGUCCUGUAUCCAGAGUUCUGCCCUGCCUGUUCUGUAUCCAGAGGCCUGCCCUGCCUGUCCUGUAUCUAGAGGCCUGCCCGGCCUGUCCUGUAUCCAGAGGCCUGCCCUGCCUGUCCUGUAUCCAGAGGCCUGCCCUGC
rnacentral:lncRNA from 1 species